GUGGUAGUAGUAUUGCUAUUAUUAUUAUUAUUAUUAUUAUCAUUAUUAUUACAUACUGAACUAUACAAUUUUAACAUAGGUGCAAAUUAAUGUCUACUGUUGAGGGUUAUAUCUCAGGUUCUGUAUUUUGCUAAUUGGCAACCAUUACGUUUUCAAAAUCCUGUCAAACGGUCUUGAAAUUGGAAUAUUGAUUGGUAAUCUAAACAUCCCCACCACUGCACUCAAUGAAUCUGUUACGGUUCACAUCUUUUCUACCUGAUAUUGUGAAUGCUUGACAGGAUUUCACUCAGUAAAUUGACGACAUUCCUUUAAAUCAGCUCCAUCUUUGAUAGCUGUCGAACUCUCCUGCCAACGGCCUAGUGCUAUAUACUGUAUAACAUGUCUUUGUGAAAUGUUCUGAUAUUUUUGUAAGGUGUAACGUUGACUAUAACUACAGUGUAUUAACUCCCUCUCUUGCGCGCUAGCAUUGUAGAAAAUAGAUUCCCUCUGUUCACAUCAUUCCAUGGAAGUGGCAGAGUUGAGGGUUUGUUUGGGUUUUAGCAUUUGACUGAUCUUUACUGCUGAAAUGACCUCCAACUGUAAAUAUAAUGUAUAUAACAGAUUUGAUGUAAGUGUGCACAUUUUUAUUUGGGGUAGUCUAAUUAGUUGUCUGUUUUAUAAGACAAUGUGAAAUACCGAUGACAUUUCUGUCCUCUUUAAAUGCUUGAAAAUCUAUUGAAUGAACAUGUGGGGUUGAUUAUAUAUUUUUUGAUUCCUUUCUUCAGGUUUAUAAGCGAUGAAUGCCAUGACACUAUCUAUCAAAUGCACAGACAAUAUAAAUAAUACAACGAAACACAUUGUAAAUCAAGGGCAUUGCGAACCACUGAUAUACACAGUAUAUCAUCCAUUUCUAUAUAUCUAUAACCUAUUCUGCACAGCUAUCAUAGAAGCACAUAGGAUGUGUUAGUCUCUCAGUUUACAACUGAUGCAUGAAUUCUGUUUCAACAGGGCAAGGACAACGAGCCAUAAUCAUUAGAUUGUAACAAAACAUCUAACGCAUCCCAUUAGGAAAUGUAAUCAACGGCAUGGAAGUAGCUAACAUUUGGUGAAACAUUGCCAUUGUUCAUAUCAUGCUGCUCUGGGCGAGAGACAAUGCCAAGAUGGCACUGUCUCUUGUUUCUCUAUGCAUGUUAUAUCGCAUGAGUAAUGUUGAUUUAAAAAAACAACCUUAACCCUAUCAUCUUAAACCUGUAUCGCAGGUUACAAGUACAGUUCAAGAGAUUGUGAUAAACUGCCAUUCUCUGGUUGGUUACAGAGCAACCAAUCAUAUCCUGGGGUCAAUGGCUGGGAUUCACAACGACAGUCUUCAAAUAUAUAACACAUUUAUAUACGCAUAAAGAAUAAAUAGUUUGCCCAUGUAUUUUACCAUUACCAACUUGCAGCCAAUUGCUUAUAGUAGUGACAUGUAUCUCUGGUACGUAAAUAUGCUUUGCUACUUGAUCAUUAAGCUUGUUGUGUGUUUUGGUUUUGAGUGAUAUAAUGGUAGUGUGUGUGGUUACACACGCUGGCCUAUAACAGUUACAGACCCUGGGGUUUCCCUUCUCUACUGUGUAGAUGAGGCAGUGUUGGCUGGGUCUUGGUGUAAGAUGAGUCAUUUCUCUUGUUCUUGGUGUAAGAUCGGUAAUAUCUCUUGCUCUUGGUGUAAGAUGAGUCAUUUCUCUUGUUCUUGGUGUAAGAUGAGUAAUCUUUCCCGAGACGUAAAGACUUGAGUUAGCCCUUCAGACCUAAUGCCUAGUCUUUAGCUCAGAGGGCUGACAGUCUUGUGGCAUGCAGGAGACCUGGGUUUGAAUCCCGGUCAGUCACAUUGGCACAUUCAAUCUGACACUGUUCCAUGCAUUAAGUGCACUCAUCAUUGCUGGCUUCUAAUGUUGUCUGGCCCAUUAUGGAAUGUCAACAUGUUCUGUUCUGCCAUAAAUGUAUAUUUAGGUGUCGAUAUCUGUGUUCAUGUUUUUCUCCCUUAUUUCUUUAGGUUAUAGUGUUGCUCUAUUAAUGAAAUAAUAUCAAUUGUAUGAUUGCAUCCGUUCAAAUCCAUGCUUUUGGUAACACGUCUGUUGUAAGCUAUAGCAAUAGGAUGAACAAUGGACAGACUUCAGAGACAACAUUUCUUGUUCCUAAUGCAUUUCUGUUGAAUGAUUGAAUCUAGACAAAGCCCAGUAGUUUAUGAUUUCUAUGUCAGGUG
rnacentral:lncRNA from 1 species